CAAUAGCGUAUAUUUAAGUUGUUGCAGUUAAAAAGCUCGUAGUUGGAUUUCGGGUGUCAUCUGCCGGUCCGCCGUUUCGGUGUGCACUGGCGGGCGUCAUCUUUCUGUCGAGGACGCGCUCCUGUCCUUCACUGGUCGGGACGCGGAGUCGGCGAGGUUACUUUGAAAAAAUUAGAGUGUUCAAAGCGGGCUUACGCUUGAAUAUAUUAGCAUGGAAUAACGCUAUAGGACUCCUGUCCUGUUUUGUUGGUCUUCGGGACGGGAGUAAUGAUUAAGAGGAACAGUUGGGGGCAUUCGUAUUUCAUUGUCAGAGGUGAAAUUCUUGGAUUUAUGAAAGACGAACUUCUGCGAAAGCAUUUGCCAAGGAUGUUUUCAUUAA
rnacentral:rRNA from 1 species